UUUACAGGAUUUGCAUUCAGAUCUGAGGUACGCUGACUUUCCCUCGAAUGCUUCUGCAGGACAGCGUCAUGCACGCCCUGUUGCAGUAAGCUGAUUUCUUAGUCAUCAAAUGAAUGAAAACCCAGGAAUCACUGAUCAGACUGGAUGAUUAUCGAGAUCCUCGGAGGCAGAUUUCUGUUGGAUUUGUGCAACCGAGUGUCCGAUUGGCUUAUUGAUUAUUAGUCCUUUUGUUGCAGCAGACAGAGCUCGGGGGCUUUGAGACACGACGAUGAUAACCAGCUGAAUGCAGAAUAUCCGGGUCAUUAUUCCCAAAGAAAUGCUAACGUGUUCACCAGAUGAUAACAAUACCCACCUUACAGAUACUAAUGAGCUAUUAUAAUUUCUCUGAUCUGUAAUCCAUUCAGAAAGGAUGAAAACCGUAACGAUGCAGACCUUGAAGACUUGCUGAGGCCUUGUCAUCACCAGGGGUCGUCCGGUCACCCGCCUCCUCCUCCUGCUUCCUGCAUCCACACUGCUGCAGAUCAGUUUCACUGUCCGUCGAGGCCUCACACCUGCCAGGUUUCAUUUGUUUCAGUUUUUGUUGCUGGAUCCAGUCUGAGCCUCGCUGUGGCGACACAUCCCAGAAGCCAGAGCUGCAACCAAAUGAGAGCAUAGCAUCAGGAAAUGCUCUUUCAGUGCAAGUUCAGCCAAACUACCUCUGAGUUUUAAUUCUGCGUUCAUGUAGAAGGAACAAAAUAAAACACCGGACGUAAGUGCAAGGCUCUGCUGAUGAGUGUCCUGUUACCCGUGAAGAGAGAGGCGUCCUGAAGAGGAAACUCGAGAGUGUAACAAGAAUCUGAGAGGACUCUGUAGCUCCUGUUGUCUCCUAACACAAAGACAACGACCCAUGAAGGCCGGAAGAGACCCGAUCCAAGUCCGAGACUUCACUUGUUACAGAACUCUUCCUGUUUGAGUUUCGCUGCAACAACAUUAGAUUCAGAGCAUUUUAACAUGAUUUGUUACGACGUCUACAUGUAACGGGAAAAGCAAACAUAACGCAGGACUGAAAUGCCUCCCGAAUGGAAUUUUUCCCAACUUGCCAAGAAACUUCCCCACAUCUUGUGUCCUCUAAUGGACGAUCUUCAUUCUGGUGAAGAGCUCCUUGCAUCUUUAAGCUUUAACAACGUGCAGGAGCAGCGUUUUCUGCCAACAGCUCAAACGCAGAGGGUUGACUUUCCAGUGGUUGAAAAUGAGACUCCGUCUGUGAGAUAAAAGAAAUGGCGACUGGAAGCUUUUUAAAGCCUGUUGUAGUUCCAUUUAAUAAUUACGUGGACUGAAACGGCUCGUGAGGUGUCACUUUGUGUUUUGGUGACGGAUGUCAGCCGAUCCGCCUGCUUCUGAAUCCUCCUGAGAGAAAAAGGUGAAAACAUCUAGUUCUGUCGUUAAUAAUUGAUGCGAGGGGAAUGACUGAACUGAAAUCGUGAACAAGAGCUGAAAAAAAAUCUAAUCAUCGACAGCGAUGGAGUCGGUGAGAGGACUGGAACAGCUCUGCCCACCUGGCAGCCGGCUGCAUAGGAAUCCCUUUUAUGCUGAAAGGGAUUCAGAAGUCGGUUGGAAGCCUUGAUGUGCAGCAAACCUGCUUUGAAUAUGAAUGAUUUCACCCCCGGCGAGGCGAGGCGUGCAGCGCCGGCUCAUUCUGAGUGAUUCUGCAAACUGGAAGAUGUGGAAGUUGGAAUUUAUUUUUACACAAAAAAUCCGCUCAGACAAUCCAAAUCAGUCGUCUUUAAUACAAAAUAUAAAACUGGUUCUUAUGUCAUGUUGAUACUGAUCGGUUCAUCGUUGGAUUCAGUUUCCAGUUCAGAAGAAUCGCGCCCAAACCUACAACUGAACUAGUUUAUUGUCAUCAUUGCUGUCAUUUCCAGUGCUGCCGAGUCCGACAGCCAAGCAAGACGCAGGCCGCCAUGUUGAGUUUUUACAGUGCUGAUGAACAUUUGCACGUUUUCAUAACCUUUAGCUGACUUUGCUUGCAGGGUUUAGGUUAAACUGUUCAAGAUUUCUAGUGAAAACUGAAAAUAACAUUUUAAAUUAUUAUUUCUGAUUAUAAUCCGGCUCCCUUAAGUUUUUCAUGCAGGCUGAACAUGAAGAUAGUCUCCUACACCUACCUCCUGCAGUAGCUUCUGAUAGAAAACAGACGGUGAAACUCUAGGAUCAGAAAGGUCGGACAGAUCUACGUCACCCUGUCACUAACAUUCAUGGACUCACCCAUCCUGGCUCACAACGGGGAAGGCUGUUGUUGGGUUAGCAUCCAGGAAACAGCAGAGAGCAUCUUGGCUAGUAGAAGCUAACUGUUAGCAUUAGCAACUCCACUACAUGGCUGAACUCCUCCAGGCUGGCGCAGAGCAAAUGGAGUCAGUGGUAGAGUCAGUGGGGCGACGGUGGCACAGGAGUUAAGUGCUCGCCCCGUAAUCAGAAGGUUGCAGGUUCGAGCCCCGCUCGGUCUGUCACUGUCGUUGUGUCCUUGGGCAAGACACUUAACCCACGUUGCCUGCUGGUGGUGGUCGGAGGGACCGGUGGCGCCAGUGCUCGGCAGCCUCGCCUCUGUCAGUGCGCCCCAGGGCAGCUGUGGCUACAUCGUAGUUCAUCACCACCAGUGUGUGAAUGUGUGUGAAUGGGUGAAUGACUGGUUGUGUUGUAAAGCGCCUUGGGGGGUUCCAGGACUCUAGAAGGCGCUGUAUCAAAUACAGGCCAUUUACCAUUAGAGUUGUGUUGCUGUUAUCAGUCCAAGGUGAGAUGGCCAAUUUUCAGGAAAUAAGAGUCCAGAUCUUUCUUUCUGCUCCAGCUGACUUGCACUUCCUGACACUGAGCUACCCCCGAGUACGACCUACAACGCAUUAUUUCCUAUUAGAGACGACUGCACAUGUAUUAGCUAAAUGAGUGUACCUCACCUUUAAAGAGGAGGUUCAGUAAGGGACGUAUAAAACUUUUGAAAGACGACUGGUCACUUUGAACAGUGGUGCUGUGUGCUGAUAGGCAGGGCAGGCGAUUGGUGUGUGUCCCCAGGCCAAAAGUGAAAGUAGUGACACGGUAAAAGGCUGUCACCCGGCAGCACUGUUAGCCAUCUCGCACUCCUUAAUGGGGGACCUAUGAGAACCUUGUAGCACCCCUGGCUCUGAGUUGCAGAUUCAUGCUAAAUAUGAAAAUAGUCAUUAAUCCCCAUCAUCUGCAUUAGCUGCUGGAACAAACUGGACGAGGAGAUGCUUGCAUCAAAAAAAUCCAGGCAGUUCUGUGUCACAGUAAAAAUUAGCAUUCAUGGAUCCACUUUGGCUUCUGACUGAGGAAGGCAGUUCUGAUUUGGUAGCCAGGAGAGAGCAGAGCACAGCUCAGCUAGUAGAAGCUAGCCGUUAGCAUGAGCAACUUCACAACAUGGCGAAACACAUUUGGGCUAACUAGUGGAAAUAACACAUUGUUGUAUUUUUUACCCAUGCAUGAAAAGUUAGCGGUGGCCAAAUGUUUGCAUAUCAUAACCAACGAGUAAAGCCGGGCGUACACUGCACGAUCCAGUUCUCGCAUGCGACCUGACUGCUCACACUGUACGUCUGGUAGCAACAUGUCGGCCCUAAAAAUAUGCUAAAAAUAGCAGUUUUUAAAGACUCCAAAUGCU